GACGAACGCUGGCGGCGUGCUUAACACAUGCAAGUCGAACGGAAAGGCCCUGCUUGCAGGGUACUCGAGUGGCGAACGGGUGAGUAACACGUGGGUGAUCUGCCCUGCACUUCGGGAUAAGUCUGGGAAACUGGGUCUAAUACCGGACAGGAGCCAUUUUUAGUGUGAUGGUUGGAAAGUUUUUUCGGUGUAGGAUGAGCUCGCGGCCUAUCUGCUUGUUGGUGGGGUAAUGGCCUACCAAGGCGGCGACGGGUAGCCGGCCUGAGGGGGUGGACGGCCACAUUGGGACUGAGGUACGGCCCAGACUCCUACGGGAGGCAGCAGUGGGGAAUAUUGCACAAUGGGCGCAAGCCUGAUGCAGCGACGCCGCGGGGGGGAUGACGGCCUUCGGGUUGUAAACUCCUUUCGCUAGGGACGAAGCUUUUUGUGACGGUACCUAGAUAAGAAGCACCGGCUAACUACGUG
rnacentral:rRNA from 1 species